UGAUUAAAUCUUAGCCAAAACCUAAUCAAACUUUAGUCAAAUCUUGAUCAAAUCCUAAUCAAAUCCUAAUCAUAUCUUAAAAAAAUCCUAAUCAAACCUUAAAUAAAUCCUCCUCAAAUCCUAAAUAAAUCCUAACCAAAUCCUAGUCAAACCCUAACCAAAUCCUAACCAAAUCCUAAUCAAACCCUAACCAAAUCCUAAACAAAUCCUAAUCAAAUCUUAAUCAAAUCUUAAAUAAAUCAUAGUCAAAUCCUAAAUAAAUCUAAGUCAAAUCCUAAACAAAUCCUAACCAAAUCUUAAUCAAAUCUUAAAUAAAUUCUAAUCAAAUCCUAAACAAAUUCUAAUCAAAUCCGAAUCAAAUUCUAUAAAAAUCUUAAACAAACUCUAAUCAAAUCCUAAUCAAAUCUUAAUCAAAUUCUAAAUAAAUCUUAAUAAAAUCCUAAUCAAAUCCUAGUAAAAUUUUAAGUAAAUCCUAAUAAAAUCCUAAUAAAAUUCUAAUCACA
rnacentral:lncRNA from 1 species